rnacentral:rRNA from 1 species
AGCUCCAAUAGCGUAUACUAAAGUUGUUGCAGUUAAAAAGCUCGUAGUUGAACUUCUGUACAGUCUCAGUUCUGGCUUAGGUCAAGCUGUUGGUUGUACAUCCGCUUGCAAAGCUAGUUCGGCCUUAACUGGUCGGCUGGUAGAGUAAGCCUUUUACUUUGAAAAAAUUAGAGUGUUUCAGGCAGGCAAUGGCUCGAAUACAUUAGCAUGGAAUAAUGGAAUAGGACUUUUGUCCAUUUGGUUGGUUAUUGGACAUGAGUAAUGAUUAAAAGGGACAGUUGGGGGCAUUGGUAUUUAACAGUCAGAGGUGAAAUUCUUGGAUUUGUUAAAGACUAACUUAUGCGAAAGCAUUUGCCAAGGAUGUUUUCAUUA